UACAGAGGGUGCGAGCGUUAAUCGGAAUUACUGGGCGUAAAGCGUACGUAGGCGGCUUUGUAAGUUAGAGGUGAAAGCCCGGGGCUCAACCCCGGAAUUGCCUUUAAGACUGCAUCGCUUGAAUCGCGGAGAGGUGAGUGGAAUUCCGAGUGUAGAGGUGAAAUUCGUAGAUAUUCGGAAGAACACCAGUGGCGAAGGCGGCUCACUGGACGCGUAUUGACGCUGAGGUACGAAAGCGUGGGGAGCAAACAGG
rnacentral:rRNA from 1 species